ACGGGUGAGUAAUAUAUCGGAACGUGCCCAAUCGUGGGGGAUAACGUAGAGAAAUUUACGCUAAUACCGCAUACGAUCUAAGGAUGAAAGCGGGGGAUCGCAAGACCUCGCGCGAUUGGAGCGGCUGAUAUCAGAUUAGGUUGUUGGUGAGGUAAAAGCUCACCAAGCCGACGAUCUGUAGCUGGUUUGAGAGAACGACCAGCCACACUGGGACUGAGACACGGCCCAGACUCCUACGGGAGGCAGCAGUGGGGAAUUUUGGACAAUGGGCGAAAGCCUGAUCCAGCAAUGCCGCGUGCAGGAAGAAGGCCUUCGGGUUGUAAACUGCUUUUGUACGGAACGAAACGGCUCUUUCUAAUAAAGAGGGCUAAUGACGGUACCGUAAGAAUAAGCACCGGCUAACUACGUGCCAGCAGCCGCGGUAAUACGUAGGGUGCGAGCGUUAAUCGGAAUUACUGGGCGUAAAGCGUGCGCAGGCGGUUAUAUAAGACAGUUGUGAAAUCCCCGGGCUCAACCUGGGAAUUGCAUCUGUGACUGUAUAGCUAGAGUACGGUAGAGGGGGAUGGAAUUCCGCGUGUAGCAGUGAAAUG
rnacentral:rRNA from 14 species